rnacentral:rRNA from 1 species
GAUGAACGCUAGCGGCAGGCUUAAUACAUGCAAGUCGUGGGGCAGCAGGUUUGUAGCAAUACAGAUGCUGGCGACCGGCAAAACGGGGUGCGGAACACGUACAGAACCUUCCUUUGAGCGGGGAAUAGCCCAGAGAAAAUUUGGAUUAAUACCCCAUAGUAUAAUGAAAGUGGCAUCACUUUAUUAUUAAAGAAUUUAAUUCACUCGAAGAAUGGCUGUGCGGCUGAUUAGGUAGUUGCGGGUAAAGGGACCCACCCAAAGCCUGCGAUCAGUAACUGGUGUGAGAGCACGACCAGUCACACGGGCACUGAGACACGGGCCCGACUCCUACGGGA